UACGAGGGGUGCAAGCGUUGCUCGGAAUUAUUGGGCGUAAAGAGCUCGUAGGCGGUUUGUCGCGUCUGCCGUGAAAGUCCGGGGCUCAACUCCGGAUCUGCGGUGGGUACGGGCAGACUAGAGUGAUGUAGGGGAGACUGGAAUUCCUGGUGUAGCGGUGAAAUUCGUAGAUAUCGGGAGGAACACCGGUGGCGAAGGCGGCGAUCUGGGUCGAUACUGACGCUGAGGUGCGAAAGCGUGGGGAGCAAACAGG
rnacentral:rRNA from 1 species